UCCUUCUGUUUAUUUAUUUAAGGUCUGACCUGCCCAAUGAGGAAUUGAAUGGCCGCAGUAUUUUAACUGUGCUAAGGUAGCAUAAUCAUUUGUCUUUUAAUUGAGGGCUGGAAUGAAAGGUUGGACGAGAUAUUAACUUUCUUUAGUUUAAUUAUAAGAAUUUAAUUUUUUAGUCAAAAAGCUAAAAUUUAUUUGUUGGACGAGAAGACCCUAUAGAUCUUUAUAAUUUUAUACUUUAAUAGUGUAGGGAAUAUUCUUUUUUGAAGUAAAUUAAUUAUUUUGUUGGGGUGACUGUAGAAUUUAAUUAACUUCCA
rnacentral:rRNA from 1 species